UACGGAGGGUGCAAGCGUUAUCCGGAUUUACUGGGUUUAAAGGGUGCGUAGGCGGCGCGGUAAGUCGGGUGUGAAAUCUUGGAGCUUAACUCCGAAACUGCAUUCGAUACUGCCGUGCUUGAGGACUGGAGAGGAGACUGGAAUUUACGGUGUAGCGGUGAAAUGCGUAGAUAUCGUAAGGAAGACCAGUGGCGAAGGCGGGUCUCUGGACAGUUCCUGACGCUGAGGCACGAAGGCCAGGGGGAGCAAAACGGG
rnacentral:rRNA from 1 species